rnacentral:rRNA from 1 species
UACGAAGGGUGCAAGCGUUACUCGGAAUUACUGGGCGUAAAGCGUGCGUAGGUGGUGAGUUAAGUCUGAUGUGAAAUCCCCGGGCUCAACCUGGGAAUGGCAUUGGAUACUGGCUCGCUAGAGUGCGGUAGAGGGUGGUGGAAUUCCCGGUGUAGCAGUGAAAUGCGUAGAGAUUGGGAGGAACAUCUGUGGCGAAGGCGGCCACCUGGACCAACACUGACACUGAGGCACGAAAGCGUGGGGAGCAAACAGG